ACUCCUACGGGAGGCAGCAGUGGGGAAUAUUGCACAAUGGGGGAAACCCUGAUGCAGCCAUGCCGCGUGUGUGAAGAAGGCCUUCGGGUUGUAAAGCACUUUCAGUAGGGAGGAAGGUAGUGUAGUUAACACCUGCAUUAUUUGACGUUACCUACAGAAGAAGCACCGGCUAACUCCGUGCCAGCAGCCGCGGUAAUACGGAGGGUGCGAGCGUUAAUCGGAAUUACUGGGCGUAAAGCGCAUGCAGGCGGCUUGUUAAGUCAGAUGUGAAAGCCCGGGGCUUAACCGUCGGAAUUGCAUUUGAAACUGGCAGGCUAGAGUCUUGUAGAGGGGUUAGAAUUUCAGGUGUAGCGGUGAAAUGCGUAGAGAUCUGAAGGAAUACCAGUGGCGAAGGCGGCCCCCGUGGACAAAGACUGACGCUCAGAUGC
rnacentral:rRNA from 1 species